CGGGGUGCACCAGGCGCGAAAACUUUACAAUGCUGGCAACAGCGAUAAGGGGACCUUGAGUGCCAGGAUACAAUCCUGGCUGUCGUGAUGCCUAAAAGGCAUUAUAUAGCAAGGGCCGGGCAAGACCGGUGCCAGCCGCCGCGGUAACACCGGCGGCUCGAGUGGUAACCGCUAUUAUUGGGUCUAAAGGGUCUGUAGCCGGCUUGGUUAGUCUCUUGGGAAAUCCGGCAGCUUAACUGUCGGGCUUUCAGGAGAUACUGCCAGGCUCGAGACCGGGAGAGGUGAGAGGUACUUCAUGGGUAGGGGUGAAAUCUUGUAAUCCUUGAAGGACCACCAGUGGCGAAGGCGUCUCACCAGAACGGAUCUGACGGCAAGGGACGAAAGCUAGGGGCACGAACCGGAUUAGAUACCCGGGUAGUCCUAGCCGUAAACGAUACUCGCUAGGUGUCGGCCACGGUGCGACCGUGGUCGGUGCCGUAGGGAAGCCGUGAAGCGAGCCACCUGGGAAGUACGGCCGCAAGGCUGAAACUUAAAGGAAUUGGCGGGGGAGCACAAGGGCGAAUCGC
rnacentral:rRNA from 1 species